CAAAGCAUUGCGAUGGUCC
rnacentral:sRNA from 1 species